rnacentral:misc_RNA from 1 species
UACGGAGGGGACUAGCGUUGUUCGGAAUCACUGGGCGUAAAGCGCGCGUAGGCGGCCUGUUAAGUUGGGUGUGAAAGCCCGGGGCUCAACCCCGGAUGCGCAUCCGAGACUGGCGGGCUUGAGUCCGGGAGAGGGCGGCGGAAUUCCCAGUGUAGAGGUGAAAUACGUAGAUAUUGGGAAGAACACCGGUGGCGAAGGCGGCCGCCUGGCCCGGAACUGACGCUGAGGCGCGAAAGCGUGGGGAACAAACAGG